UACGUAGGGGGCAAGCGUUGUCCGGAUUUACUGGGCGUAAAGGGCGCGUAGGCGGCAAUUCAAGUCAUCUGUGAAAUCUCCGGGCUUAACUCGGAACGGUCAGAUGAUACUGCUUUGCUAGAGUGCAGAAGGGGCAAUCGGAAUUCUCGGUGUAGCGGUGAAAUGCGUAGAUAUCGAGAGGAACACCAGAGGUGAAGACGGGUUGCUGGGCUGACACUGACGCUGAGGCGCGAAAGCCAGGGGAGCAAACGGG
rnacentral:rRNA from 1 species